ACAGAGCUCCAGCGGAUGCUUCAAUCCCAUCUGUUUCCUCAAGACCGAGAUUCCAGUUGCUCUGUUUUUUUGUUUCCAGUAUUUUAAAUGAAGCACAGGAAGAAUGGAUUAAUAAAACAUGUGUUGAAAAUUA